UUUUGGCUGAGCCCUCUAGGCACUCAUGGACUGGCUGUGGUGAGAAAAUACUCUCAGGCUGCAGUGUCAGCCUGCUGGCAGAGUGCCAGCUUUUCAAGGGUUAAACCAGUAACCUCCAGGCUUGGAGCACUCCUGUUGCAUGUGCAGCUCUCCCCAUCCAGCUUGGCUUGUGUUCCACCCUGCCAGAGCUUGGCGAGACUGCCUUUCCCUUUGCAGAAGGAUUGGUGUGCCGGCCAAACCUUUCUCCCUCUCUUUUUUUCCAUUUGAUCCUGAAGACUUCACUUGGCAUUUUCAUCUGAAAGCUAGAGCUGGGGGCUGUGUCAGCAUCUGCUGGCUGAGAUCACAAGGGAGAUGUUCUCUCAGAUUGUCGCAAGGAGAGCAAAGCUGGCUGGCCAGCCUGGAGAUUCUGGGAUGCUGAGAGCUACCCUGCGUUAUGGAAAUGACACAUCACUGUUUGUUCUGCUUUCCCCUUAGACCAACUCCCACUAGCCUUGCUUUCUCUGCUUCACAUGGGCCAGUACUGCAUGUCCCAGCAGCCCACCUGAGUUCCAAAAAACAGGUGUCACAAUGAUUGCUUUGAUGUCACUACCUUGCUGGAGGUCAGGAUUGGCUGGUCUGCCCUGGGCUAGCACUGGCAGGGGCUGCAGAGGACUGUGGAAUUUAUAUUAGAGGCUGCAACUACCAUCAGCAUCUCAUUGUGCUAGGUGCAGUCCCUGUCUCCAGGUGCUUACAAUCUGCAUAGCCAGGAUGGACAAAGGGGAGGGGAAGUGACUUGCCCAUGGUCUCUCAGCAGAGAUGCCUAGAUCACAGCUGGGUGCCCUAGCCACCAGUUUGCACAGCCUCCUGCUGUAGCAUUGGCUGAGUAUUCAGCCCUGUUGAGGGGAGAAGGGGUUUUAUAUCCCUAUGCACAGACCUCUCUGGCCCAUUAAGGAGCAGCAAUGACCAUUGCUGAAGCCUUUUCAAGAGUAGCCCCAAUGCUGCUGGCUGCUACACCUGAACCUGCAGGUGACACAGCCACCUCCUCUCCAGCCAUGCCACCAAGAGUGCAUUCAGACCUCACUGUUAUGGCAUAGUCCUCCUCCUUUAACUGCAAUUUCUAAUGGAUCUGCAGCCCAGCUUCCCACAGCAGAGCAGCUCAGAGAACAAUGCCUUCUUGUUUCUUGGACUGCUUUCCCUGGAGAAAUCACGUCACUAGAUUGGAUUUUGUUUCCUGCCUCUAUGCUUGGUCAUUUCUGGUGAUGUAAUGCACAGGGGGAUUUGAACACAAAGACAAGAAGAAGGCAUCAGGGGAAGCAACUGUUCUUUUGAAAGAAACUGUUCCCUAAAAAGAAAAGAAAAAAAGAACACCCCAGGCUGAUCAUCCAUGCUUUGGAAAACGAAUUCAGAACAGGGCCCCAUCCUUCUUGCUUGAUGAUUUGUGCCUACAUUAUAGAAAGGAACA